UACGUAGGGCGCAAGCGUUGUCCGGAAUUAUUGGGCGUAAAGAGCUCGUAGGUGGUUUGUCGCGUCUGCCGUGAAAGCCCGGGGCUUAACUCCGGGUCUGCGGUGGAUACGGGCAGACUAGAGGCAGGUAGGGGAGAACGGAAUUCCCGGUGUAGCGGUGAAAUGCGCAGAUAUCGGAAGGAACACCAGUGGCGAAAGCGGCUUCCUGGUCCAGCACCGACGUUCAGGCACGAAAGCGUGGGGAGCAAACAGG
rnacentral:rRNA from 1 species